ensembl:misc_RNA 7SK 7SK RNA
GGAUGUGAAUGUGACCUGACAGUAGCCUCCACUUCCCACCGAUAACCGAGGUUUAUACUUCUGGUUGACCACCUGCACUGGGCUUUUCCUUCCUCCUUUACCUCUCCAGGAAGGUCCCUCCUGAAGUUUCACUACUAGUAGUAAAAGGUGAUCUUUGGAAAAAGGAGGCUGUUCCUUGGUAAGGGGAGAAUCAGCAGUUGUGCUCCCAGAUACAGAAGGGCUUGUGAGAGAACCAUCUCCGUGAAGCUCCAACAGACCACUCUAUCUGCAAAUGGUGUCUCCCUGCUCCUCUGAGUCCCCUGGAAAUUUUUGGACCUACCUUCAUGA